AUUGAACGCUGGCGGCAGGCCUAACACAUGCAAGUCGAACGAGUGGCGGACGGGUGAGUAAUGUCUGGGAAACUGCCUGAUGGAGGGGGAUAACUACUGGAAACGGUAGCUAAUACCGCAUACCAUCGGAUUUGCCCAGAUGGGAUUAGCUGGUUGGUGGGGUAACGGCUCACCUAGGCGACGAUCCCUAGCUGGUCUGAGAGGCUGACCAGCCACACGGGAACGGAGAAACGGUCCAGACUCCUACGGGAGGCAGCAGUGGGGAAUAGUGCACAAUGGGCGCAAGCUGGAUGCAGCAAUGCCGCGUGUAUGAAGAAGGCCUUCGGGUUGUAAAGUACUUUCAGCGGGGAGGCGGUACUCGAAGAAGAAGCACCGGCUAACUCCGUGCCAGCAGCCGCGGUAAUUC
rnacentral:rRNA from 1 species